rnacentral:rRNA from 1 species
GAGUUUGAUCCUGGCUCAGGAUGAACGCUGGCGGCGUGCUUAACACAUGCAAGUCGAACGAACCUUCGGGUUAGUGGCGGACGGGUGAGUAACGCGUGGGAAUCUGCCCUCAGGAGGGGGAUAACGGCUGGAAACGGCCGCUAAUACCCCAUAUGCCGAGAGGUGAAAUGAAUUUCGCCUGAGGAUGAGCCCGCGUCUGAUUAGCUAGUUGGUGAGGUAAGAGCUCACCAAGGCAUCGAUCAGUAGCUGGUCUGAGAGGAUGAUCAGCCACACUGGGACUGAGACACGGCCCAGACUCCUACGGGAGGCAGCAGUGGGGAAUUUUCCGCAAUGGGCGAAAGCCUGACGGAGCAACGCCGCGUGAGGGAUGAAGGCCUCUGGGCUGUAAACCUCUUUUCUCAAGGAAGAAGAUCUGACGGUACUUGAGGAAUAAGCCACGGCUAAUUCCGUGCCAGCAGCCGCGGUAAUACGGGAGUGGCAAGCGUUAUCCGGAAUUAUUGGGCGUAAAGCGUCCGCAGGCGGCCCUUCAAGUCUGCUGUUAAAACGUGGAGCUUAACUCCAUCAUGGCAGUGGAAACUGUUGGGCUUGAGUGUGGUAGGGGCAGAGGGAAUUCCCGGUGUAGCGGUGAAAUGCGUAGAUAUCGGGAAGAACACCAGUGGCGAAGGCGCUCUGCUGGGCCAUAACUGACGCUCAUGGACGAAAGCCAGGGGAGCGAAAGGGAUUAGAUACCCCUGUAGUCCUGGCCGUAAACGAUGAACACUAGGUGUCGGGGGAAUCGACCCCCUCGGUGUCGUAGCCAACGCGUUAAGUGUUCCGCCUGGGGAGUACGCACGCAAGUGUGAAACUCAAAGGAAUUGACGGGGGCCCGCACAAGCGGUGGAGUAUGUGGGUUUAAUUCGAUGCAACGCGAAGAACCUUACCAGGGUUUGACAUCCUGCGAACCUCUUGG